UACGGGGAAUUGCUUCAUCGGCUUGUGAGCUCGAGUUCUGGUAAGUGCCCUUUUCUUCCUUGUGCCUUUCUCUUUUUCAAGGAUGGAUCUAGAUUCACUGCUCCAUCGGGAACUUUCUUGGAUGGCUGUAUGAAUCCACGUUUGCUGCCCAUGGCUACUCUAUGGGGCAAAUUGUGGCAUUCAGCUUGAAGAGAAUCAGUACCUUAAGCCUCAGGGUGAUGGAGAAUGAAUUAAUCCAUUCCUUCCUGACUCUAUCUCUAAUAGACAAAUUUUACGUGGGCGCGGGUCAGCCAGUUAAGUCAUUAGGACGGCCGCCAAUCUCCGAGACUCCCGUGGAAGGUUUCUUUUCCUAAGGCUGGAUUGGGAUCCCUCCCUCUGGCACCUGACCACGCUCUGAACUGCGAGGAAAGUCCCACUCGGGACUCCAGUUCAGGGGAAGUACCAAACUCUAACCAUUGGUGGAGUAUGGGAACCCCUUCUUGGGAGAAUGGCUCCAGGAUGCAAUUGGGUAGAAUGUCCCCCAGACUGGCGGAAAAUUCCUCACUGUCUUUCUCUUUCUCACUGUCUUUGUCCUUUUCUCUCCUGGGGACCAUACGCCAGGCACCUAUUACUGUCAGGUAAUGGCUCCCUUUCUCUGGGACCAUUCACCAGUCACCUAUUCCUGCCAGGCAGAAUAGGGAAGAUGUUCAAGGGAUGCCCCCAUCAUCCCUUGCUACAGGAACCCCAAUGGGGGGAUUUUCAAGGUA
rnacentral:lncRNA from 1 species